GACGAACCGUGCGAACGUUGUUCGGAAUCACUGGGCUUAAAGGGCGCGUAGGCGGGCUGACAAGUCUGGGGUGAAAUCCCGCGGCUCAACCGUGGAACUGCCUUAGAUACUGUCGGCCUCGAGGGAGGUAGGGGCGUGCGGAACUGUAGGUGGAGCGGUGAAAUGCGUUGAUAUCUACAGGAACUCCGGUGGCGAAAGCGGCGCGCUGGACCUCUUCUGACGCUGAGGCGCGAAAGCUAGGGGAGCAAACGGG
rnacentral:rRNA from 1 species